GUUAUAAAAGGAUAAAUCUGAAAAAUAUUGCCAGUAUCGACAACAAGCCUUCAUCAUGUCGUUAAAAGCUGGUCUUUUAAUUUUCUGUAUUGUUAGUAUCAAUGCUAUGACCGUGGAUAACGGAGACGCUUUUGAUUGUCCAGCGAACGAAACAUAUGUCGAAUGUGAGUUGGCAGUUUGUGAGAAAUAUUGUAAGGACCUCGACACUCCUCCAGCAUGCCCUGGAUUAGCCAUAGGCUGUUACAUGCCCGCCUGUGUGUGCAAAGGAAACUGGUUGAGGAACAAAGAUGGCAUCUGUGUGCCGUUUCAAGAUUGUGACACAGUAAAGGCAACAGUGCACUAAAAAUAGACAAUAAACGCUACUGAGGUGCAAUAUUUAUGUCAAUUUUGUAUUAAAUUAAAUAUUUUUAAAAAUGUG